AUGACAAGGUGAGGUAAGGAGAGAGGAGGGAAGGAGAAAGGGAGAGGAACACAACUUCAAUAUUAUGUCACUACAAACCUUAUACCAGCUAUGAAAUUUCUUGACCUAAAGGAACUCCCACAAAGCAGGAUUUUACAUCUCCAUCGCAAGACCUGGUUUCAGAUGACCUAAAAGAAAAUUAGACAGCCAAGAAAAUUGGAAUUGAACUCUGAGAACACCUGAAAGCUUGAAAACACCUUGAUUUUACAAACCUAAGAUGUGUUUUCCUCAGGGAUGCAUUGUAUUCAGCAUAGAAGAUAAUUUCUGAAUCUAUCAUCAUGAUCACCUGUGCCCUGCAUACUUUCUUUGAUUCCACAUUUAUUUUCUGGAAUCCAUGGAAACAUCAAUGCAAUGUGUGCAACAUCAACUGGUAUUGAUAUUUUCUGUCCCUCGAGUAGCAUUGUUAUAAAUUUUUGUAGAUUUGAGAGCCUAGACACCUUGAAUUUUUCUUCCCAUAUGAUCAUAUUCACAAUGUCAGAUUGAUUUUGAGAUGAGAUCAUACUAACUCACAGGUAAGUCUUUCCAGUCCCUUUGUAGGGACUUAAUCUAUUUGUUCUUAAUCUAUUUGUAUUUAAUAGUAGUGACGUAUUUUAUUUCUUCUGAAAUGACUAAAUAUUUAAAAAAUUUAGU